UUAAUACUCCCUCCAUCCCAAAAUUCUUGUCUUAAAUUUGUCUAGAUACGGAUGUAUCUAACACUAGAUACAUCCGUUAUUUGGACGGAUCUAAGACAAGAAUUUUGGGACGGAGGGAGUACUAG
rfam:Triticum aestivum genome assembly, contig: Triticum_aestivum_CS42_TGACv1_scaffold_499816_6BL